GAUGAACGCUGGCGGCGUGCUUAACACAUGCAAGUCGAACGAUGAAGCCCAGCUUGCUGGGUGGAUUAGUGGCGAACGGGUGAGUAACACGUGAGUAACCUGCCCUUGACUUUGGGAUAAGCCCGGGAAACUGGGUCUAAUACCGGAUAGGAGCGCCUGUCGCAUGACGGGUGUUGGAAAGAUUUUUCGGUCAUGGAUGGACUCGCGGCCUAUCAGCUUGUUGGUGAGGUAAUGGCUCACCAAGGCGACGACGGGUAGCCGGCCUGAGAGGGUGACCGGCCACACUGGGACUGAGACACGGCCCAGACUCCUACGGGAGGCAGCAGUGGGGAAUAUUGCACAAUGGGCGGAAGCCUGAUGCAGCGACGCCGCGUGAGGGAUGACGGCCUUCGGGUUGUAAACCUCUUUCAGUAGGGAAGAAGCGAAAGUGACGGUACCUGCAGAAGAAGCACCGGCUAACUACGU
rnacentral:rRNA from 1 species